AUUGAACGCUGGCGGCAGGCCUAACACAUGCAAGUCGAGCGGAUGAAGGUAGCUUGCUACCUGAUUCAGCGGCGGACGGGUGAGUAAUGCCUAGGAAUCUGCCUGGUAGUGGGGGACAACGUUUCGAAAGGAACGCUAAUACCGCAUACGUCCUACGGGAGAAAGUGGGGGAUCUUCGGACCUCACGCUAUCAGAUGAGCCUAGGUACGAUUAGCUAGUUGGUGAGGUAAAGGCUCACCAAGGCGACGAUCGUUAACUGGUCUGAGAGGAUGAUCAGUAACACUGGAACUGAGACACGGUCCAGACUCCUACGGGAGGCAGCAGUGGGGAAUAUUGGACAAUGGGCGAAAGCCUGAUCCAGCCAUGCCGCGUGUGUGAAGAAGGUCUUCGGAUUGUAAAGCACUUUAAGUUGGGAGGAAGGGCAGUAAGUUAAUACCUUGCUGUUUUGACGUUACCGACAGAAUAAGCACCGGCUAACUUCGUGCCAGCCGCCGCAGUAA
rnacentral:rRNA from 1 species